GCAAGUCGAACGCGAAAGUCCCCUUCGGGGGAUAAGUAGAGUGGCGCACGGGUGAGUAACACGUAGGUAAUCUACCUUCGGGUGGGGAAUAACCCAGGGAAACUUGGGCUAAUACCGCAUAAUGCAGCGGCACCACAUGGUGACAGUUGUUAAAGCGGGGGAUCUUCGGAUCUCGCGCCUGAAGAGGAGCCUGCGGCAGAUUAGCUAGUUGGUAGGGUAACGGCUUACCAAGGCGACGAUCUGUAGCCGGCCUGAGAGGGCGGUCGGCCACACUGACACUGACAUACGGGUCAGACUCCUACGGGAGGCAGCAGUCGGGAAUUUUGGGCAAUGGGCGAAAGCCUGACCCAGCAACGCCGCGUGAAGGAUGAAAUCCCUCGGGAUGUAAACUUCGCAAGAAUAGGAAGAAUUAGUAGGGGCUAAUACCCUCUAUGAUGACGGUACUAUUUGUAAGCUCCGGCUAACUCCGUGCCAGCAGCCGCGGUAAUACGGGGGGAGCAAGCGUUGUUCGGAUUUACUGGGCGUAAAGGGCGCGUAGGCGGUCAGCACAAGUCAGUUGUGAAAUCUCCGGGCUUAACUCGGAAAGGUCAACUGAUACUGUGCGACUAGAGUGCAGAAGGGGCAACUGGAAUUCUCGGUGUAGCGGUGAAAUGCGUAGAUAUCGAGAGGAACACCUGCGGCGAAGGCGGGUUGCUGGGCUGACACUGACGCUGAUGCGCGAAAGCCAGGGGAGCGAACGGGAUUAGAUACCCCGGUAGUCCUGGCCUUAAACGAUGGAUGCUUGGUGUCUGGAGUUUUAUAGUCUCCGGGUGCCGUAGCUAACGCGUUAAGCAUCCCGCCUGGGGAGUACGGUCGCAAGACUGAAACUCAAAGGAAUUGACGGGGACCCGCACAAGCGGUGGAAGCAUGU
rnacentral:rRNA from 1 species